rnacentral:rRNA from 1 species
AUUGAACGCUGGCGGCAGGCCUAACACAUGCAAGUCGGGCGGUAACAGGAAUCAGCUUGCUGAUUCGCUGACGAGCGGCGGACGGGUGAGUAAUGUCUGGGAAACUGCCUGAUGGAGGGGGAUAACUACUGGCAACGGUAGCUAAUACCGCAUAACGUCUACGGACCAAAGUGGGGGACCUUCGGGCCUCAUGCCAUCAGAUGUGCCCAGAUGGGAUUAGCUAGGAGGUGGGGUAACGGCUCACCUAGGCGACGAUCCCUAGCUGGUCUGAGAGGAUGACCAGCCACACUGGAACUGAGACACGGUCCAGACUCCUACGGGAGGCAGCAGUGGGGAAUAUUGCACAAUGGGCGCAAGCCUGAUGCAGCCAUGCCGCGUGUAUGAAGAAGGCCUUCGGGUUGUAAAGUACUUUCAGCGGGGAGGAAGGUGUUGUGGUUAAUAACCGCAGCAAUUGACGUUACCCGCAGAAGAAGCACCGGCUAACUCCGUGCCAGCAGCCGCGGUAA